rfam:Octopus bimaculoides Scaffold2372_contig_5, whole genome shotgun sequence.
CUACUAACUUUGGUAGUACAUAUACUAUAAUUGGAACAACACAGAGAAGACAAGCAUGGCUCCUGUGCAAAGAUGACUCAAAUUUGUGUAAAAAAAACAAAAAAAAC